rfam:Ochrobactrum anthropi ATCC 49188 chromosome 2, complete sequence.
AUGCAGCGCCGGGCCCCUCUGGUCAUGGCUACCGCUAUGGCGAUGUCGGGGCUGCUCC